UCAGGGAGAAGUCUCUUCGGGGAUGAUUAAACCGGCGCACGGGUGAGUAACACGUGAGUGACCUGCCUUUUAGACUGGAACAACUUACCGAAAGGUGAGCUAAUGCCGGAUGAGUUAUAUAAGUGCAUGUUUAUAUAGGAAAAGUUGGGGAGACCUGACGCUGAAAGAUGGACUCGCGUCCCAUUAGCUAGUUGGUAGGGUAAUGGCCUACCAAGGCGACGAUGGGUAGCCGGCCUGAGAGGGUGGCCGGCCACACUGGGACUGAGACACGGCCCAGACUCCUACGGGAGGCAGCAGUGGGGAAUUUUGCGCAAUGCUCGUAAGAGUGACGCAGCGACGCCGCGUGAAUGACGAAGGCCUUCGGGUCGUAAAGUUCUUUCGACAGGGAAGAAAAUGCCUAUAAGUAACUGUGUAUGUAUUGACGGUACCUGUAUAAGCAGCCCCGGCUAACUCCGUGCCAGCAGCCGCGGUAAUACGGAGGGGGCGAGCGUAGUUCGGAGUGACUGGGCGUAAAGAGCACGUAGGCGGUGUUGUAAGUCAUUAGUCAAAGACUAGAGCUCAACUUUAGUAAGGCUAGUGAUACUAUAAUACUAGAGUAUCAGAGAGGAUUGCAGAAUUCCUGGUGUAGCGGUGAAAUGCGUAGAUAUCAGGAGGAAUACCGUUAGCGAAGGCGGCAAUCUGGCUGGAAACUGACGCUGAGGUGCGAAAGCGUGGGUAGCAAACAGGAUUAGAUACCCUGGUAGUCCACGCUGUAAACGAUGGAUGCUAGGUGUUGGGCUUUUAAGUUCAGUGCCGCAGCAAACGCGAUAAGCAUCC
rnacentral:rRNA from 1 species